UUUGUGUUGGAAUAUAUUACCCCAGUGAAGAAAGAGACGCGUCUAAAGUGGUCACUUCUACUUCCGUGCCGUGCACGGUACAGCGACCCGUAAAGGAGAGCAGCUGAUAUGAUGUUGGUUAGAAGACCUCCUCAGGCUGUCAGAAGGAAGUGAUGCAGUACACCAUGUAUCCACUGUGAAUCUUAAAGGGCCUUCACCCCUGUCUCAUGUCCACAUGUACAACAAGCAGGCAGAUUCAUUACACAGGUUCUCUCUCACUCUUUCUUUCUUUGUCUCUGUCUAGUUCUGCUUGCUUCUAUCAGUCACCUUCUGUCAAGACAACCCCAGAGUGUCAGAGGCACUUAACCAUAUUGAUUUUUGAGUCAAGACUUGUUAGCUCUGAGUGCCAGCUUUGCUAGUGAGUCCAGCAGAAAUCUGGCACAAGGAGCUACAGAUGACCCUAAACUACACCACUGAAUAUUUCCUGGGGCCAUCUGGCUACAAAGAGAAGCUGCCAAAUGCUAUGUAAUGCAGACUCCCCAUCAGGAACAUCAUGUCUUGUUGCAGUGUUAAAAAAUAAAUAAAUAAAUAUG